CAGUCGCCGCGGUAAUACGGAGGGUGCAAGCGUUAAUCGGAAUUACUGGGCGUAAAGCGUGCGUAGGCGGUUCGUUAAGUCUGUUGUGAAAGCCCCGGGCUCAACCUGGGAAUGGCAAUGGAUACUGGCGAGCUAGAGUGUGUCAGAGGAUGGUGGAAUUCCCGGUGUAGCGGUGGAAUGCGUAGAGAUCGGGAGGAACAUCAGUGGCGAAGGCGGCCAUCUGGGACAACACUGACGCUGAGGCACGAAAGCGUGGGGAGCAAACAGGAUUAGAUACCCCCGUAGUCCCUGUCUCUUAUAA
rnacentral:rRNA from 1 species